UGGGGAGGGGGGAAAACCGAAUGAGGGAGAACCCGAGAGGCAGACCUGGAGAGCUGGAGACCCGGCCGGGAGCGGGGCUGCCAGGGUCCAUUGUACUCACCCCGGGGGGCUGAAGGCCUUCUUGCACCGGUUGUGUUUAGCAGCCAGACUUUAGCUGAACUUUGGACUUGUUAAACAAGUCGUUUGCAGCCUAGUGUGGAAGGCUCCGGGACUUUUCCACCAAGCUGCGAGUCCGCCUUUAGUCCGCAGAGAAGAAACUGUGCUUCGGGGUUCAGAUCCAGGACACAGCGGUUCCUGGGGUCAGGGAUGGCGCUCUGCAGACUCGAGGUCACAGCAGCCGGCAGCCGUCUUCCAUGCCAAGUUGGGAAGGUGCCCACAAAACCACUGAGGGAAAGGAGGUUUUUUUCCACUCCUGCCUGGCCCAGGAAGGAAGCUGAGAACCUUUCAACGCUAUCGGAGUUUCACCUGCACCGCCCUGAGGCGUCAGGGUGAAAGAAGGAUGCGGGAGGCACACCCAGACCCUCCAGGCUGGCCCAGAUCUGCAGAAGAAGAGGGGAAGGGGCUUUUUAGCAUGGGUCGCUCACAGGCCUAUAGUUCCUAGGGCAGAGGACACUCCCUUACCGGCCCCCUCUCCCACCACGCCUGAGGUUCAUCAUCUGUGAAAUACUGAUACUCAAGUGGGGGGGGGGGGUCCUGGGUGUCGUAUACCUUGAAUGAGAACACCUGUGAGACCCUGUCGUCUGGUGAUGGUGUUCAAACUUUUCCUUCUGGGAAGGCAGGAAGCCUGUUCCCGGUAGUAAAAAGCUAGCCCCUCUGGAGGCUUAGGGUUCUCAGAAUCAGGCAGCUCCAGUGCUGGGGUUGGCGACCAGGAGAUUAAAGACAACCUUUCAGAAAGAACAGGGAAUUUGUGAAGGAGCUUCCAAGCAAAUUCACCUUCCUUUCCCACCUUUAAAAGACGAUUAGGAGGAAGAGGGGAAUUUCAGCAUGGGUGGGGGUGGGGGUGGGGAGGGCCAGCAGCUCAGGAUCAAAUCCCUUUGCUGGCUGAGGGCUGAACCUCCAGAGGUGGCUGAUCCAAGUCAGGCUGCUGAGCAUCGAGGCUGCCUCUUACAUCCAGGGUUUUCAACACACGCUGGGCCACCCACGAAAAACGGGUGGUUGUGUGCUUGGAGCUCUGGGGGAGGUUUACACCAUCUCAGUGUCUUUCCUGGGAAAGGGGUCAAAAUGACGAUGGCCCUUCUUUUGACCUUAUUGUCUUCUAGUUUAUUGUGACAUAUGGCAGUCCCUUGCCCUCACCAUUCGGCCCAAUGAGAGAACAUUUUCUGCCCACCUAGCUCCCCUCAACUGGGAUAAUGAAGUGUUCGGAGUAAAUGUCCCCGGAGAACAAACUCUUUGUCUCUCAUUUGCUAUCAUGAUAGAAGCAGUCAAGUGUCAUGAAGAUCGGUUUCUGUGUUUAGCUGGGAAAAACCCAUUAAAAAGCCAGCCAUCACUUCCCUUUUAACAACAAA